UACGUAGGGUGCGAGCGUUGUCCGGAAUUAUUGGGCGUAAAGGGCGCGUAGGCGGUGCGGUAAGUCACCUGUGAAACCUCUAGGCUCAACCUAGAGCCUGCAGGCGAAACUGCCGUGCUUGAGGGUGGGAGAGGUGCGUGGAAUUCCUGGUGUAGCGGUGAAAUGCGCAGAUAUCGGGAAGAACACCCGUGGCGAAGGCGGCUCUCUGGGACGGUACUGACGCUGAGACGCGAAAGCGUGGGGAGCGAACAGG
rnacentral:rRNA from 1 species